rnacentral:lncRNA from 1 species
UCGACGACAGCCCUUACUGAUUUUCUUUGAAGCAAAACAAAAUCUGUGGAACCCAAGCCGACGGCACAUCGAACCGGAACCGCGGUGACAUCGCUGGGUUCAGGAAGAGAGAGAUAAUUAGGGCUCGGUACGAUUUUGAGGUUGGGAGUUUGAGAAAAUGAGAAGGAUUGAGUGAAGAGGAUGAGAGAGGGAAGGGCUGCACCUCGCCGACCCUCCACUAGCGGCGGCGAUUCGCCGGAGGAGCAGCUAGGGCACGAUUUUGUGAGUAAAUUUGGGGCUUUGUGUCUUCUUCAUAAGAAUUGAGAGAUGGGGGAUUGAGAGGGAGACGAGGGAAGUGUGACGAGCUUGGUGGCUGUCGUUGCUGCGGCCGCGGAGGACAGAGGGAGGGCGUGUUUCUAUGGCCGGAGUUGAGAGAGAGAGAAAGCUGGGGGAUGAGGGACGAGAUAGAGAGUAGGGGG